rnacentral:rRNA from 1 species
UACGUAGGGGGCAAGCGUUUGUCCGGAGUUACUGGGCGUAAAGCGCACGCAGGCGGUCUCUUAAGUUUGGAGUGACAGUUGGUGGCUUAACUGCCAAAGUGCUUCGAAAACUGAGAGACUUGAGGGCUUCAGAGGGACACGGAAUUCCGGGUGGAGUGGUGAAAUGCGUAGAGAUCCGGAGGAACACCAAAGGCGAAGGCAGUGUCCUGGGAGUACCUGACGCUCAGGUGCGAAAGCCAGGGGAGCGAACGGG